rnacentral:lncRNA from 1 species
UCCAGCUCUUUUUUCCAUUCGAUCCAGCUCUUCUCGCUUUUCGAUGCAAAUACCCAUACGCUAUAGCCAUCGUACUACGUCCGCGUACUCCCUGGGUUCAAACUUCAGUCGUUUGAAAGGGGUGCCCGCGGGCGUUCGCGCGCUGCUGGAGUCGCGGGAGCGUCACGAACGCCGACGUCGCACGCAAAGAAUUUACUCGAAACACCACGAUGCGUCGACCCAUGCAAAAAUACCAAACCGCUCGCUGUGAUGAUCAUGACGUAAUCAGCGCUCGAACAGGGAUGGGCACAAGUUGCAACAUCGCUUUUUCGGGGCAAGGUGGGAAAAAAGUUCUCCUCCUACAAGUAAGAUUUUGCAGAGUCACCCUUGACAUAUAAGCGCCGCUGACGUCGUUUUCUUUACGGGAAGUGGCACAAACUUCAGUCGUUUGAAAGGGGUGCCCGCGGGCGUUCGCGCGCUGCUGGAGUCGCGGGAGCGUCACGAACGCCGACGUCGCACGCAAAGAAUUUACUCGAAACACCACGAUGCGUCGACCCAUGCAAAAAUACCAAACCGCUCGCUGUGAUGAUCAUGACGUAAUCAGCGCUCGAACAGGGAUGGGCACAAGUUGCAACAUCGCUUUUUCGGGGCAAGGUGGGAAAAAAGUUCUCCUCCUACAAGUAAGAUUUUGCAGAGUCACCCUUGACAUAUAAGCGCCGCUGACGUCGUUUUCUUUACGGGAAGUGGCACAAUAUUUUUUAUUAAAUCGAUAUGAGUACGUGUAAUAAGAAAAUGUUAUUUAUUUAUUUACUCGCCGAAGGCGAAGAAUUUUUUUGAGUACGUG